GGGUAACACCGUUCCUGGAGGCAGGAGGGCUUUGGACCGGCUGGAAGGAACUUCCAGCUCCAGAGAAGCUGUGGUGGCAGAAAAGGAGCCUCCCCUUUGGGGGACAGUGGGUGACGCUGAGGGUGUCAGCGGUGCGCUUCUGCGCCCAUCAAUGCUCUGACGACUCGCGACUAGUUCCCAGAGUUUCUGCCGGCCAGGAUAUCAAUGGAUAUUAUUAAGGGAAACUUAGACGGAAUUUCAAAACCAGCCUCAAAUUCAAGAACGCGUCCUGGGAGCAGAGAUUCAAAUUCUUCUUUGGAGGUACUCUCACCAGAACCAGCGUUUUUCAAGGUUGAUACUGCAAUCAAAUUGAACUCUGGUAAAGAGGGCCACUCAGAAAGCAGUAAUACAGAGGAAAGUAGAAACAGUGAUGAUGAUAAAGGGGAAAAGCAUUCUGAGAACAUAGAACUGGCUCGAGAGCGGCCAGAUGAAGAUCUGCCGGUUCAGCGUCCGAUGCUCUCUGGACGUUCAGAUGAAGGCGAAUUGAAAGAAUUAGAUUCUCAACUUCAAGACGCUAUUCGGAAGAUGAGGAGGCUUGAUAAGAUAUUAGCGAAGAGACAAUAUAGAGAAAGAGAAAUUAAGAAGCGAGGCCUAGAAAUGAGAAUAAAGCUGUGGGAAGAACUUAAGUUUGCAAAAAACAGUGAAGAUUUGCAAAUUAAUGAGGAGACGGAAAAUACAAAAAAGUUUCUAGCUUUGACUGCUGGAUCCAAAAAAACUGUUGAUCCUUCUUGCUAUGAGCAUGAAGACUCAGUGUUUUACACUCAAGUCCCUCCAGAAGAAUAUGAAAACUGUAUACAGAUUAUCAAUCAAGAUUUUACCUAUGAUCUGGAAAGAAAUGAGUCCUUGAUCAAGGCAGAAAAGAAACCUUUCUCAAAAACAGAAAAGAUUGAGCUCAGGGGUAAACACAGCCAGGAUUUUAUUAAGCGAAACAUUGAGUUGGCCAAGAAUCCAGGAAAACCAGGGGUUAUGAUUGACAGAGAGAAGAAAAGGCUGAUGGAACUUCUGAAGGACUUGGAUGAUAGAGAUUCGGGGCUGUCCAGUUCUGAGGAAGCUGACCUUAAUGGUGAUGACAGAAACGUGGAAAUAACUCCAGGAGAAAAGGCACUUCGGUACACCAAAGAGAAUCGGGAUCAGAAAAAUCGGCUGAGAGAGAUAGAUGAAAAACUGAGAAAGAUGAAGGAAAAUGUAUUAGAUUCAACAUCACUUCUCUCUGAGGAACAGUUAAGGUGUCUUCUGGAUGAAUGUGCAUUCAAACAAAAAUCCAUGACUAGACUUUCUUCAGAAAAAGAAAAGAAAGACAUUGAGGAUAUAACACCUGAGUUGCCCCAGCUUUCCAGAUCUGUCCUUUCUGAGUUACUAAAUGGGUUAGAAGCAAAGGUCAAGAGCACUGACGUGGAAGAUGCAAGUAUGCCGGAGAAUGGAGAAGGUGAAACAUCUAGAGGCUACUAUCUCACCCAAGCCUUGACUGGGCAUUGCAUGUCACAAGCUCUUGUCACUGAAGCAGAGAAUAUGAAAUGCCUCCAAUUUUCCAAGGACAAGGUUAUUAGUGACACCAAAGACUAUUUUAUGUUGAAGACUCUUGGCAUUGGGGGACUGAAAAGGCCCUCUUUCCUGGAUGAUCCAUUGUAUGGUAGCAAUGUGAGCCUUUCAUCUGAAGACCAAAAUAUGAAAUCCAGCCCUCCAGAGAAACCAAAAACAGAUGAACAGGAGACUGAAGAUGUGACAGAAGAAUGUAAAGAAUCUUAAGCAAAGACUAACUGGGGUGCGCUUUUAAGAAAGCUGGUAAAUUAAGAAAGUCGGUAAAAAACUACAUUUUUCCCAAAUUCUUUGAAUUCAUUGAAUGCAUUAUAGAGACUAUUCCUCAAAUAAUGAUUUUAAUAUUUGUAUUCUCUCUUUCUGGAUUACAUAUCCUUGAUAUUUUUGAGACUUGUGGUAUAAUGAUUUAAUGGUUUUUCUUCAUUGAAAUUCCUGGGGAAAUUGUUUCUUAUGACUAAUCUUGCAACAUCAGGAAUACAUUAUGGAAACCAACAUUUUAUGUAUGUGUGUUAGGUUAAAACUAGUUGAAGUGCUACGAUUGUUUUGUAUUUGACUUUCUGUUACAACUCUAUUGUGAUUCAGACAGAUUUAAUCACCAUGAAUUUUUGUUUUGGCCCUGAUUUUCCUUCUUUCCUCCCCUCUAAUGCCUAUUAAGUAAGUACAACUGCCAUAGAAAGAAAUGAGUUUUCUCAAAAAAGCAAUUUAGGAUAGCCUUUACUAUCUUAUUAGCAA
rnacentral:lncRNA from 1 species